rnacentral:ncRNA from 1 species
UCAAUUUACUGUGCCUUUUUGUACUAGGAUCAGUUACGAAAGUAAGGCCUAACGAUCCCUAAAUAGCCUCAGGUGCGUGAGGAUUGGGGUGACAGACAAGUUACCUCCGGGACAACUGGCUUGUGGCUGCUAAGAGAUCAAAUCAACGCAGCUUUUUGAUUCUUCGAUGUCGGCUCUUCCUAUCCUAGUGAUGUACAAGUUGCUAAGGGUCGGAUUGUUCACCCGUAUUAGGGAUCGUGAGCUGGGUUUAGACCGUCGUGAGCCAGGUUUGUUUUAUCCUACUGGAUAUAGCAUCAUGAUAGUAGAUUGAUUUAGUACGAGAGGAACUGUUGAUUAUGGCCUCUGGUUAGCGAUUAUCGGAAACGGUAUGUCGCGCAGAUACGCCGUCUGGGAUAAUGGCUGAAAGCCUCUUAAGCCAGAAGCCCAUCUAGAAAGUGAUGCACGUGAUGUUGGACCGAUACGAAUAAUCAUACUCAAAAGGUCCGCUUCAUAGGUAACCCAAUGUAGAAGACAUUGUGUGAACGAAGGUACUGUAAGCAGUGGAGUGGCAUUACGUCCACGACCUGUUGAGGUUCAGCUUCGCUUCUAGGUUUCC